rnacentral:lncRNA from 12 species
CCCCCCCCCCCCCCCCCCCCCCCCCCCCCCCCCCCCCCCCCCCCCCCCCCCCCCCCCCCCCCCCCCCAGGAGGGGGGGAGGGGGAGGAGGAGGAGGAGGAGGAGGAUGAAGACCAGUAUGAAGAUGGUGAGGAGGAUGAGGAUGAGGAAGAUGAGGCGGAGAAUGAGGAGGGAGAGGAGGAUGAAGAUGAUGAGUAGGAGGAUGAGGAGGAGGAGAAGGAAGAAGAGGAGGAGGAGGACAAGGAUGAAUAAGGUGAGGAAGAGAAUGGGGAUGAGGAGGAGGAUGAGGAAGAGCAGGAUGAAGGUGAGGAGGAUGGGGAAGAUGAGGUGGAGAAUGAGGAGGGGGAGGAGGAUGAAGAUGAUGAGGAGGAGGAGGAAUAGGAGGAGGAAGAAGAAGAUGAUGAGUAGGAGGAUGAGGAGGAGGAGAAGGAAGAAGAGGAGGAGGAGGACAAGGAUGAAUAAGGUGAGGAAGAGAAUGGGGAUGAGGAGGAGGAUGAGGAAGAGCAAGAUGAAGGUGAGGAGGAUGAGGAAGAGGAGGUGAAUGAGGAAGAGCAGGAUGAAGGUGAUUGCAGAUGAUGAGGAUGGGGAUGAGGAGGAUGAAGAGCAGGAUGAAGGUGAGGAUGAUGAGGAUGGGGAUGGGGGUGAGGAUGAUGAGGAUGAAGAGCAGGAUGGGGGUGAGGAUGAUGAGGAGGAGGAGGAUGAAGAGCAGGAUGCAGAUGAUGAGGAUGGGGAUGAGGAGGAUGAAGAGCAGGAUGAAGGUGAGGAUGAUGAGGAUGGGGAUGGGGGUGAGGAUGAUGAGGAUGGGGUGAGGAGGAUGCAGGGGAUGGGGAUGAGGCUGAAGGCCGCUGUCCUGCAGGUCGGGGCGCCCCAUCAGUGUCAUGGUGGUGUUCAUCACCCCCAGCCCCCUCAGCAAGAUCUGCUGGGUGAACCGGCUGCACCUGGCCAAGAUCGGCCUGCGGGACGAGAACCAGCCGGGCUGGCUCUGCCCCGACGAGGACAGGAAGAGCCGAGCUCCCUUCUGGUGCCCCAUCCUGUGCUGCCACAUUCCAGCCUUCUCCUCCAAAGCCUUGGAUCUGCAGCUCGGAGCCGCUGUCCACAAUCCCGUCCAUUCCUCACUCCUGGGGUUCUCAGCUGUCAGCACCUCCCUGCCCCAGGGCUUCCUGUGGGUGAGCAAAGCCCAAACUCCGGGAUUUGGGAUUAUUUGGGGUGUGGCAUUUGGGGUUUGGGAUUAUUUGGGGGUGGAAUUUGGGGUUUUGGAUGGCUCUGGCUGAAAUCACCUCCAAGGGAUGCUCCUGCAGGUGAGAGGGGGCUGGGGGGCAGGUGGAGAUCUCCAGGUGUGCACAACCCCUGUGGAUCCUGGGAUUUGGGAUUACUUGGGAUUUUUCAGGAUUUGGAAUUUGGGAUAGCUGUGCUGGAACCUUGGCAUGCUCAUUCCCACUUAUCCCGGCUCCCAUCCCGAAUCCCGGCUCCCAUCCCGAAUCCCGGCUCCCAUCCCGAAUCCCGGCUCCCAUCCCGAAUCCCGGCUCCCAUCCCGAAUCCCGGCUCCCAUCCCGAAUCCCGGCUCCCAUCCCGAAUCCCGGCUCCCAUCCCGAAUCCCGGCUCCCAUCCCGAAUCCCGGCUCCCAUCCCGAAUCCC